rnacentral:rRNA from 1 species
UGGGGGAUAUUGCACAAUGGGCGAAAGCCUGAUGCAGCGACGCCGCGUGGGGAUGAAGGCCUUCGGGUUGUAAACUUCUUUUGCUCUGAACAAGGCGCACCAUGGGGUGUGUUGAGUGUAGGGGUUGAUUAGCGCCGGCUAACUACGUGCCAGCAGCCGCGGUAAUACGUAGGGCGCGAGCGUUGUCCGGAAUUAUUGGGCGUAAAGGGCUUGUAGGUGGCUGGUUGCGUCUGUCGUGAAAGCUCAUGGCUUAACUGUGGGUUUGCGGUGGGUACGGGCUGGCUUGAGUGCAGUAGGGGAGGCUGGAAUUCCUGGUGUAGCGGUGGAAUGCGCAGAUAUCAGGAGGAAUACCGGUGGCGAAGGCGGGUCUCUGGGCUGUUACUGACACUGAGGAGCGAAAGCAUGGGGAGCGAACAGG